rnacentral:misc_RNA from 1 species
GAUGAAGAACGUAGCGAAAUGCGAUAAGUAGUGUGAAUUGCAGAAUUCAGUGAAUCAUCGAAUCUUUGAACGCACAUUGCGCCCCUUGGUAUCCCGAGGGACAUGCCUGUUCGAGCGUCAUUUCACCACUCAAGCCUGGCUUGGUGUUGGGCGACGUCCCCUUUAGGGACGCGCCUUGAAACGCUCGGCGGCGUGGCACCGGCUUUAAGCGUAGCAGAAUCUUUCGCUUUGGAAGUCGGGGCCCCGCCUGCCGGAAUACCUACUCGUAAGGUUGACCUCGGAUCAGGCAGGGAUACCCGCUGAACUUAAGCAUAUCAAUAAGCGGAGGA